GCACGAAGUUAGCCGAUGCUUAUUCUUACCAUACUAUCAACCUUCUACACGUAGAAGGGUUUUCUCUGGUACAAAAGCAGUUUACAACCCAUAGGGCCGUCUUCCUGCACGCGGCAUGGCUGGUUCAGAGUUGCCUCCAUUGACCAAUAUUCCUUACUGCUGCCUCCCGUAGGAGUCUGGUCCGUGUCUCAGUACCAGUGUGGGGGGUAGUCCUCUCAGAUCCCCUAUUGAUCGUAGCCUUGGUGGUCCAUUACACCACCAACUAGCUAAUCAAACGCAUACCCAUCUAAAACCGCCGGAGCUUUCAAAAUCAAACGAUGCCGUUCAAUUUGUUACGGGGUAUUAAUCUCUCUUUCGAAAGGCUAUCCCCCUGUUUUAGGUAGGUUGUAUACGUGUUACGCACCCGUGCGCCGGUCGCCACCAGUUAUUGCUAACCGUGCUGCCCCUCGACUUGCAUGUAUUAAGCCUGCCGCUAGCGUUCAUC
rnacentral:rRNA from 1 species